UCUUUCAGAUUGAGAAAAAAUUUAAAGAUUGUUCAAUCUAUCUAAAGUUGCAUAAAGAGAGAGUUAGGGAACUUGAAAGGAAAUUGACAUCUUUGCAGGAGGUUUGACUUGUUUCUAUUUGGACUCAUUAAAUUUGCAUGCUAUUCCAUUUCUUGUCCUGUUAACAUGCUCCAUGGAUCCAUAAUUGCCCCAAUGAAGGAGUUAUGCUCCACCAAAGAUCCUGCUGCUGCUAAUGAAGAGCGCUACUCUGCUGAAAAAUCAACUUGCCACUUGCAAUGUCAGAUGGCCAAUCUGGUGCAGGAAUAAGCAUAGAAACAGCUGAAUGGGCAAUGCAAGACACAUUUGAGUCAAGUCAACAAUGAUUACAAAGAGAAACUUGAGAAGGAAGCAUCUGCCAGAAAAGAUUUUGAAAAUGUUUGGUAUUUUGUUGUUUUGUUCAUGUAAAUAAAUAUUUAAUGGUGCAUUUGGAAGCAUGCUUAAACUAUGUUCUUGAACAUUUUGGGGUCACCACCUUUGGAUAAGUAUGGCAUUUGGAAAGCUUAGAAAGAGUAAUGCAAGGUAUGUUACUACUACCCAAACACAGACAACCGUUUACUAAAUAAACACUUUAAACAUUAUAGAAUGAAGCAGUUCACCUUAUAAACUCAAAUAGUUUAUACGUGGGAUUCAGGAAACAUCCAAACAACUCCAAAGCUUUUCAUUCUGCCACUAAUGUUUAGUAACCUGGAUUUUCAAUAUACGAAAUCUAGAAACUAUCUUGGCAAACUGGAUUUGGAGGUGUGGAUAAGGCAUGUACUGCUCUCCAUCAGUAACCAUUUUGAAAAAUACAGCUGUAUUAAAGAAGAUUUCAAAUCCUUGCAAGCGAAGCUUUUAGAGAAGAUUUGAGAAGUGGGCAAACACAAUAUCUUGGCCUGCAUCUGGAUUUCAAUUCCAAAUGCCGCAAAAUUCAAACUGCCAAAUGACCCCUAAAUUUAUGCUAGGGCAAUCAAAGUGACCCACCACAAGAUAGACAUAGAUUUCAUUUCUUUCAACAAGUCAACAUAUGUCCUAAUCACUACGAAAGAGAUCUGAGACUCAAAAUCUAGAGGCCAAGGGUAGAUUGGUGUUCAAUACGCAAUUUCAACUAAGAUAUGGACCAAGUUUUAAAACCGAUGUUUUCGAAUUUCACAGGAAAAAAAAGUUUCAGCAAUAUUAAAAGAAAUGACCAUAAUAACAUGCAAUAAAAAUUGUUGAAAAGUUGGAAAAUUCGAUAGAACCAACCAAGAGAAAAUCAUGCAUGAUUUUAAGGAAAAAAAUGCACUCAAUGGAAAUUUUGGUUUACUUUAUGGUAAUCAUCGAUUUUUCUUUUCUGAAAAUUCCUCCAAUGGAAUGGUUAGGCUGUGAAAGAAGCAACAAACGUAAUUCCUAUCAUACAAGAGGUCCCAGUCAUUGAUAGUGUGCUGUUGGAUAAACUGAUUUUUGAAAAUGAACAAGUGAAGGUGGGAUUGCCAUCUCAAGGAGUUUUGUGAUGAAUAGCAUAACAUUUCAAAUUAAAGGAUUCUCUGACUCUUCACUGAAGGUUUGGGACAUGUCAAAGAUUGGUCGACAAGCUGACACUAGUAGGUUCUCACCUUUGAGCCUUCCAUACAUAUUAAUCAGUGCCAUUAUAUUGCUGGUUUUCGAAAUACUUGGAACCAC